UCAAAUGAGUAGAAAUUAUGAGGUCAAAUUAGUCAAAGUGCACCUUCCAUUUAGAAAGCUAACAGCUAACUAAUGUGCUUUAUUUUGUAGGAAGUUCCCUCCCUCUUUUUACUAAUUGCUUUUGCCAAUAGUCAUUAUUAUCUGUCUUCUGUCUUCCACCACAACCACCAUCUAUGAACUAAUCCUUCUACAAAACAAAAAUGCACAACUGUUCUUCUGCAAAGCACAGUCCAAAACUUCUGUGUGCCUAAGAGCUGAGAGAAGGAAAAGAGUGAGAAAUGUUUGCAUGCAUGCUUCCGUCAGAUCAGAUUAUGAGCAUCAACACAAUUGGAGUUCAAUUUGAGAGAAGACCAUAUGAUGUUUGAAAAUCAAAACGAGAGCAAGUUGUGAACUAUCAAGCCUCACCUUCCAUGCAUUUUCAAGACUUUGGUCCAUGUUCUCCGCAUCAACUUUUAGAGCUAAUGAUGUUAGAAGCUCGGCUUGUUGCAUUAACGCGUUUAUCUUUGGAUCAUCCUUUUUAAGGAAUGUUCCUUGAAUCUUGUUGUUUGGAGCUACAAAGGAAUGAAAAAUCGAGAGUUACAUUAUAAUGAUGAUAGCAUGGCCAAAGUUAUAUCUGGCUUAAUAAAUUAGACGAUGUUUGGUUUAUUUCCUGUUUAGUUUCUGAAUGUAUCAAAAUUACAAAUUUAUAUGUAAAUGAGCCUUUUAGUCACUUUGGUCAUCGACGGUGUCUUUCAUUAGUUAAUUCUGAAAGUACUUUUGUUAGUCAGUUUGAUCCAUAAAGUUACUAACAAAAGACGCACAAAUAUGAUUGUUUA